rnacentral:rRNA from 1 species
GGGGAAUAUUGCACAAUGGGUCCAAGCCUGAUGCAGCCAUGCCGCGUGUAUGAUGAAGGCCUUAUGGUUGGAAAGUACUUUCUCGCGGAGGAAGGUGUUAAUAUUAAUACUCUUAUCAAUUGACGUUACCCGCAAAGAACGCACCGGCUAACUCCGUGCCAGCAGCCGCGGUAAUACGAAGGGUGCGUGCGUUAAUCGGAAUUACUGGGCGUAAAGCGCACGCAGGCGGUCAAUUAAGUCAGAUGUGAAAGCCCCUAACUUAACUUGGGAAUUGCAUCUGAGACUGGUUGGCUAGAGUCUUGUAUAGGGGGGUAGAAUUCCGCGUGUAUCGGUGAAAUGCAUAUAGAUGUGAAGGAAUACCGGUGGCGAAGGCGGCCCCCUGGACAAAGACUGACACUCACGUGCGAAAGCGUGGGGAACAAAAUUGAUUACAUACCCUGGCAACCCACGCUGUAAACGAUGUCAAUUUAGAGGUUGUGGUCUUGAACCGUGGCUUCUGGAGCUAACGCGUUAAAUCGACCGCCUGGGGAGUACGGACGCAAGGUUAAAACUCAAAUGAAUUGACGG